GUUCUGGGGAUUUGAACUCAGAUCUACAUGGUUAUGCAGCAAGCAUUGUUACCCGUGGAUCCGUCUCCCCAGCCCACCCAGGCAAGUGGUUGCUUCAGCAGCACCUUUCUGACAUAUCUUAAUUGUCACAUGGAGGUGACCUGAGAAAAUGCCAGCUCCAAAACAAGAGACUGAAGCGUGUGGUCAUGAGCUGGGAGAAGCUUCAGUGGGCGUGACAUUUCAUCUUGGAACACAGAGUCACCUCUGCGGAAUUAUUUCACCAAGAGGCUCAUGCCGGAAGUGUAGGAUCUACAUCUCAUGAUUCAGCAUGAACAAGUGCAGAGGGGACAACUGGCAGCAGACACUGACUCAGGGGAUAGACAGUGUGGCUCAGCACCCAAAGCAGCCUCUGUAGGACUAGCAGGGAAGUCAGACUGAGCAGGAAACCCCAGCUACCAAGGCAGAAAGAAAGAAAGACACCAUGCUGAGCUUCUCUGGGAAGAAAGCGCAGGGUGGACCCUUAGCUGCCUGGCCACUCACAAGCAAGUCCUCUGCUCUGGAAGCAUCUGGUCACUCACCAGCCACCCCACCCAUAUCCUAAGCUGUGCGCAGGGCUCAGGUCAAAACUCUGUCGUGACUCUGCAUUCAGAGUUGUUUUACAAAUCGUCAGACCUGGGGAACAUCUCAGACAAAAAGUGGGACUUCUGCUCAGAAGGCGUGAGGACUGUCAAAACAUAAGUCCCCUAAGAACCCAGAGGAUAACCAUAGAAAGACUGGAGUGCACACAGGGCCAGACCUGUGUCUACAUCUUAGAAGGCUGUAAGUCUGAAGAGUUCUGUGUCCUCUGUAUCUAAAGAGGACAUUGCCACAUGGGAAACUUACAGAGGGCCAAGGAGAGCCAGGAUAGUAUUGGGGUUGCUGAUGUGAAAGACUUGGCCCAGAAGAUUCUGCAGAAGCUAGACCCCAGAGGGGCAGUGUGGUGCCUUCUCUUUGAAGCUCUUCAAACAUGGGAAGACCCCAGAGAACCAGACAAUUCCCUCACUGAGAGCCCCUUCCUGGAUUCCUGAUGUUCGGAUGAGCCAGCUUCCUGUUUCAACCACCCGCUGCCAUGCUCCCCAUCGCUACUGACUUAACCCUCUGGAACUGUUAGCCAAAAUGAACUUUCUUCUUUAAGUUGCUUCUAGUCAUGACAUUUCAUCACAGAAAAGUACCUAAUAAUCCAGGUCAUAACAAAACCCAACUGAACUAACUAGGAGUAGGAUGAGCCUGAGAACACCUGAGCCCUUCAGCCCCUAUUCCCCAGCUUUAUCCAUUAACAGUGUAAUAGUAACAUUAUAUGGGAUGAAGAUUGCCAUGCUGCAGUCAGGGAUUGGUGUAUUAAAGUACAUAAUGAUGUGAAUUGCUUCUCCUCCCACCUCUGCAGAGGUUUCUACGAAUGUUUGCCUUGUCUCCUCUGUUGACAAAGAAAAAUUUUAAACCUAUAAACACAAAGGAAGGUGUAGGGGAAGCUGUA